rnacentral:rRNA from 1 species
AUUGAACGCUGGCGGCAGGCCUAACACAUGCAAGUCGAGCGAGCGGCGGACGGGUGAGUAAUGUAUGGGGACUGCCCGAUAUAGGCGGCUAACUACUGGAAACGGUGGCUAAUACCGCAUAAUACCGGUUAACCCAUUGGGGAUUAGCUAGGAGGUGGGGUAAAGGUUCACCUUGGCGACGAUCUCUAGCUGGCCUGAGAGGAUGAUCAGCCACACUGGGACGUAGACACGGCCCAGACUCCUACGGAGGCAGCAGUGGGGAAUAUUGGACAAUGGGCGCAAGCCUGAUGCAGCCACGCCGCGUGUAUGAAGAAGGCCUUAGGGUUGUAAAGUACUUUCAGCGGGGAGGCGUUACCCGCAGAAAAAGCCACGGCUAACUCCGUGCCAGCCGCCGCGGUAAUAC